rnacentral:lncRNA from 1 species
GUCUCCAUACACCAGUCCAAAGGUCAGUUAGCAGUUUACACUCAGGCCUUGGAAUGAGUCAUAGUUUUAAUCAAUAGCUGAAUUCAUAAGCCAAAUCAAUAAUACCUAAAGCCUGCUCAUGUCGUUUCAAGCUGGUGUCAUACAGAAUAUCAUAUGGUUUCUCUCAUUUGGGAAAUCCAAUGUUUAAACAAAGUAAAGAGCAAUAUAAAAGACAGAAAAAGGAAACAGGAAGGUAGAUCUUUCACAACUGGGAAGGAGAGCAGGAGAUAGAGGGUGGAAGUGGGGAGGGGAUGUGGAAAGAAUUGAGACAUGUUGUGUAAACUGCUAGAUUUCCCUUGCCUUAAAAUGGCCCUAACUAGUCACUACACAAGCCCCUCCUAGUGAUGUCACAGGCUCCCACAAUCCCUAGCCACUACAUCACUCAAUCCCACCCCAGCUCCUAUAAGCCCCACCACAGUCCUAUAAGAAACACUCCUUGUCUCAACCAUAUUGCUUUUUCUUCUUUGUUCAGAGACAGCCCAGCAGACCCUCCCCAUAAUAAAGGCUUGAUGUGGUCCUGGUCUAGUCCUGGCUUUCAGCUCUUUUUACAUAACAUAUCUGGUGCCCAGACCCAGGAGGAAGGCAGUCCAUUAAGAGACGAUCCCAGCAGGCAGGAUCAAAUGGCCUCUUGGCCGCCUCCUCCGGACCACAUCUGCCGAGCCAGGACCUCCUUCGGUUUUCUACCUUUGCCAUUGCUGACGAGUCACAUCCACACCGUCACUGAUCUCAGGUAUCCUCAGAAGAGAGAGGAAAGCAAGACUCUGCUAAAGAAAAAAAAAAAAAGUAAAAUCCUCUCCUGGCCCUGCCUAUUUAUAUAUCAACACCUUGUUUGGCAUAUUACCAAGAAAUUCCAUCGGGCCCUAUUGUUUUCUACAUAAAUAUUGGAAAAUAAAACAUAAGGUUUUAAAACAAUUCAAAGAAAAUGUAAUGCCCAGUAUCAGUUACAGACUGCUUGCUCCAUAGUAAAAUCAGCUGUGAUGUCCCACCAGGCAGGAAAAUCUUAAAUUCUGGCUAAUUGACAAAUAUAUCUUUCAUCUUCAACUUAAAACAAUGUUUGAUUGGUGUUUGGUUUCCAGAUGUUUAAUCGAUGUAUUUGAAACAUUUCUUUUACAUUGCAAAUUCUUAAAUUGUAAUUAUAGGAUUAACUUGACCCUCU